GACGAACGCUGGCGGCGUGCUUAACACAUGCAAGUCGAGCGGGAUCCAACCGGUGGCAACACCGGGGAAGAUCUAGCGGCGAACGGGUGAGUAACACGUGAGCAACCUGCCCCGAAGACUGGGAUAACACCGGGAAACCGGUGCUAAUACCGGAUGUCGUCAUUAGGCCGCAUGACCUGAUGAUGAAAGGAUUCAUCGCUUCGGGAGGGGCUCGCGGGCUAUCAGCUUGNGGUGGGGUAACGGCCUACCAAGGCGACGACGGCUAGCUGGUCUGAGAGGACGACCAGCCACACUGGGACUGAGACACGGCCCAGACUCCUACGGGAGGCAGCAGUGGGGAAUCUUGCGCAAUGGGCGAAAGCCUGACGCAGCGACGCCGCGUGAGGGAUGAC
rnacentral:rRNA from 1 species